AUGCUUCAUUAUUGUGAUUGCUCUUUAUUGAUUGACAGAGCUGCUUUUGCAAACACCCAGGACCCUCAGAGAGUUGCAAGCUGCAGCCCCAGUCCUGCUCUUGCACACGGGAGCUGCUCCCACAGAGCCUGGUGGAGCUGCAUGUCCAGUAGGACAGGGGGAGACACUUCCCCUUCCUCCCCAAAGGCAAGGGCAGGCUGUGGCUCAAGGAUCGCUGCACAGAGGCACAUCACUACAUCAGUGCCACAGGCCCCGGCAGGAUCUUUGCAAAAAAAUAUAUAUAUAUAUUUAUAUAUAUAUGUAAUCUCAAACAUAUCCCUGCUUCCUCCAAACCCCUGCCAUGGGAUACAUUUUUCCUGCUGGCCUCGUGUGGCUGCAGCUUUCCAGUCAUGUUCACAGGGGCACCACCACAUCAGCCACAUGAAAUCAAGCCCUGGUGCCAACCUUCAAACCUGCCCCUGCCCUGCAGACAGGUACAGGGCAGCCAGCACCACCCCAGAGACCCUGCCCCUAGUACCUGUGAGCAGCUUUCAGCUCCUGCCUCUUCUGGGAGCUCAGGAGUGGGUGGGUGGAUGGAUGGAUGGAUGGACGGAUGGACGGAUGGAUGGAUGGAUGGAUGGAUGCAUGGAUGCAUGGAUGCAUGGAUGCAUGGAUGGAUGCAUGGAUGGAUGGAUGCAUGGAUGGAUGGAUGCAUGGAUGGAUGGGCAGGCAACCCUAGCUGUGGGCAAGACCCUGACCUUCCUCCUGCCCCAGGACCCCAUGUAUAGGUGCACUAUCAGACUGAGAGGCUGGACACAGAGCUGGGCUGCGAAUGCGCAAGGUCCCAGCCUGUUCAUGACAGCCCAUGGCAGGAUGAGCAUCUCAGCUCUGCUCACACUCAGGGGAUUUAAAGCCCAGGGAAACAGUCAGGGGGGUCAGAGCAGCAGACUGAAGACUUCCCAAGAGCAAACCCUUUUUCCCACUCCGAACUUCUUGCUACACACGCAAACCCAAUUAAGCACAGUGCAAUGGUCAGGGCUUGUUAAUAUUAGGGCUUGGCUGGUUUCAUUCUUGGCUGCCAGGAGGCAGGGACUGAGGUGGAGGCAGCGAAACCACACAGCGUAGCGAAACGCUGGCACUCUUCCUGCUCCCUCUUGGUAGGAUUUAGGAGGACAAGAGAUCCCAGCAGCCAGAUCACUCAAGGUGGUCUGCAAGAUGGGUCUGCCUGCCCUGGGUCUUCAAUCACACCCGAGGAUACUUUCUUCUCCUGACUUACUGAAGACACAUUGCUCAGAAAGCAGGAGACAAAAUGCAGCUGUCAGAAUACAGCUCUCAGCCGUGAGGCAUGGGGCAGUGAGACGGGCUGCUGCUUGUUAUCCCUGCUCUGUCUCACCAACGGACACGGGGACGAUGCGGAGAGCCACUGCCAGGCAGCGGGCAGAUCUCAGGGAGCUGAGCCAUAAGGAAAAACAGCCCAAAAGGAUCACUUGUGAAGGUGAGGGGAGCAUUAGCUGUUAACCCUCUGCAGACACUGAUUAAAGAGAUGCUAUCCUAUGGAUUGCACUCAAGGUUUUCUAGCCAUGCUAGGAAGAGCAAUAUUUCAUAACCGAGGGGUUUCCAGUGCUAUUUCCAAGCAUUUUGAAUUUUAAAGCAAACCUUUUCCCCUCCUUCCUGCAGGAGGGGAGCUGGUGCUCUGCCCCAGCAGCGCAAACCCAGCUCUCUGCCAACAGCCUGGCACGGCUGGGGGCUCAGCACGAGCACAGGCUGCGCUUGCCUUGCCCUGGCUGAGCAAAGCAUUUCAGCAAAGCACCGACAGGAAAGCUGGGGCCACAGGCUGAGACAUGCUUUUUCUUCCUGCCAGCUUCAUUGCAGGGGGUAGGAUCCAUUCCCGAUGGCAGCAGGGAACAGGGGUCGGCGUUUCCUGGCCUUCUCCGCAGGUGACAAUGGGGACGAGGAGGUGUGUGCCGGCAGGGAGGAAAGAGUGCUUCGUGCUGGUGCGGGCAGCGCCCCAGCCCCUUGCCCCAGUCACCAGCUUACAUCUCCCCAGCCAACUAAUCCAGGGUAUUUGCAUCGCAGAGCAGAUUAUCCAGAGCCGAGCCACCUCCCUCUGUGGGGUCACUGUGCC
ensembl:lncRNA